UGGGGAAUUUUGGACAAUGGGCGAAAGCCUGAUCCAGCAAUGCCGCGUGUGUGAAGAAGGCCUUCGGGUUGUAAAGCACUUUUGUCCGGAAAGAAAUCCUUGGCUCUAAUACAGUCGGGGGAUGACGGUACCGGAAGAAUAAGCACCGGCUAACUACGUGCCAGCAGCCGCGGUAAUACGUAGGGUGCAAGCGUUAAUCGGAAUUACUGGGCGUAAAGCGUGCGCAGGCGGUUUGCUAAGACCGAUGUGAAAUCCCCGGGCUCAACCUGGGAACUGCAUUGGUGACGGGCAGGCUAGAGUAUGGCAGAGGGGGGUAGAAUUCCACGUGUAGCAGGUGAAAUGCGUAGAGAUGUGGAGGAAUACCGAUGGCGAAGGCAGCCCCCUGGGCCAAUACUGACGCUCAUGCACGAAAGCGUGGGGAGCAAACAGGAUUAGAUACCCUGGUAGUCCACGCCCUAAACGAUGUCAACUAGUUGUUGGGGAUUCAUUUCCUUAGUAACGUAGCUAACGCGUGAAGUUGACCGCCUGGGGAGUACGGUCGCAAGAUUAAAACUUAAAUGAAUUGAC
rnacentral:rRNA from 1 species